AAUUGGUAACUCCAGGAAAAUUAAAAUCUAUGCUAUACAAGAAACUCAUAGCCUAAAAAGAAGCAAACCUGAACGUGUCAUAGUUUUGAUCAGUUAAGGGCAUAGGAAGAAAGAAUCCAUUCCACCUCAAUCCUGGGAAUGCCAGUGGCGGGAGGGCAUCUUUCCAUUCUGGCAGGUCAAGCCGUCCAUCGUGGUUUCAUUAGAGAUACUUGGCAUGAUGGGUAUGGUGGUUGGCCCUCAGUGUAUUUCUUCCUUCUUUCCAGGGUUCCUCUCUGUUCUGCAGAGACUGAAAGCAAAACCCCACAUUUCCAGACUCCCUCCCCAGCUGGAGUUCUAUUUGUGACUUCUGUUCAGCCACCACAUGUGCUUCAAGGAAGGCACAAGAAUGUGCUGAGAACCCCAACCUCCCUGUCCACACUGGCAUGGCCUUGAUGAUCCUGUCUUCACCAGCAACAUGCUUCUUCUCCAGACACUCCAACCCAGUCAGUGGAUGAAGCUGUUCCUUUACCUGCCUCAAGUCCAGACCCACAAAAGAAGAAGACAAUCUCCUCUGCUCUUUUCCCUGAGUUUCAUGAACCUAAAUCACAUCACAGGAAGGAAGACGAGUCUGUCAACACACCUGGACUAACUUUUGUCACAGACCACUGUCUUCUAUUUUGGUCCCAUUUAGUAUCUUGAAGAAAAUCAUUCACCAGUCACUGUCUGCUCUGCAGGCGAAAUAGACUUUGUCCCAGGCAGGCCACUGAAUGUUCUCCAGGCCCUCACAUCCCCCUAAGAAUCAUUUACUCCUACACCCCCAUCUCCCUUUUCCCUAUGGAGAUGGGGAUAUAAGCUCUGUACCCCAUGGGAAAUUGGGACAUUACUUCUCAAAGCAUGAUUUCCUGUAUGCUUUGCCCUCUCCCAGCAUGUUAAAUAAUCAAAUUUGUUAUGCCUUUUCUUCUUAUUGAUCUAAAUUUGCCAGUGACUUUUAUUAAUGAAGCUUCAAGAGUGAAGAAGUUUUUCUUUGGUCCCAACAGUGUAUUUGAAACUGUCUGAUAUUUUUUUCUGGAAUUCCUAUUUAUGUGGCUGUAUGUUAACCUUUCCUUGGAGCAAUCCCGUACCAGGUCUCUCCAGCUCUGAUCUCAGCCUUCAGUCCCCCAUGCACUGACACCAGCCCCAUCUCCCUUGCACAUGGCAUUCCACGCUCCGCAUGCUCCACAGCACCCGCCUACAUCUUCAUCCGGACAAAACCCAGCAUUCUUCCCUGAACUGAAAACACCCAUGGUAAAACAGUAAUCAAAUGUUAUUCCCUUGACAUAAUAAAAAAUACCUAACAAAAUUGUUGAAACAAGAGAGGUAUUCUCAUUAAAUUCUGGAUGGACUUUCA